UCCGAAAAAAAAAAAAAAGAAAAAAAAAAAAAAAGAACUAAUAAAAGAAGUCAAAUGAACUCUCCACACAUGCCCACACUAGGGCUGGGAGUGGAGGGGCCAGAUACAUUGCAAUUUCAACAUAAAACAACACCCAGGUGGUCAGUUGUAGCCUUGAAAAACAGCCUAUCCUCGAAAAGAAAGAAAUCCUUGAUUUGGAAACUUAAGUUUACUACACGAAAGAAAAAGAAGAGAAAAAAAGUUUCAGGGCUGAUGGCACCAAAACAGAACCAAAAAUUGAGUUCGUUUACAGGGUAGGCCAAAGCCAAACUAUGUUUAGUUCACAGGGCUCCUCCACAGAGCCCCCCAGCUGUAGCAAUAUAACUUUAAGUUUCCAUAAAACGCCAUGGUUUCUAUUCUAGAGUGACACCUAAGGACACCACAUAAAUCCAAAUAGUAUCAGAACAAAUCAGUCAUUGCUCCUUAAACUGCAGGUACACCUUACUUCACAAGCCGCCCAGCCCUCCAGUUCCUUCCUCCCAAUUUUGAACGCUCUGCACCGUCUGUCAGCCGUGGUCUCCCCCAUGGCUUCAGUUUCUGAGUCGGUUUUAACCGGACAAGUGACCAACUAAGAGGGGUAAAGUCCUACAACUGAGGGCAGGGGACUGCUCCAGAAGCCUGCCUGGUCCUGCCCCUCUCUCCCUGACAGUUUGCUCUCUGCUCUCUACUUCCUACCUUCCUGCCGGAGCUGUCCAGAGAGGUGGACUGGGGACCCAAAGGAGUCCGGGAGAAAAGGCUGACAGAUCAGAGAGGUGCUGGCAGUGAACUAGGAAGCUCGGCUGAUACUGCUCCCUCCCUGGGCUUCAGCAAGACUCUUUCCCUGUCUAACAAGCGGGGUGAGGGUCAUAUUUUUAUUUUGGAAACUAAAAAGUGCUCCCAGGGUCGGUGAUCAUUAAGGGGAAAUCCCUGAAUAUACUCUCCAGCCAAGAAGGCAGGGCUGCCCGCCUGCACUAGAAGAGGCAGCAGCCUCCUACAGCACUACUACAGGCGCUGCGAGGACAUAACACCACACAGCAGUUUCUCUGCCCUCAGAAACGACAACUUUCCUACCAUCUUGGAGGCAGAGGAGAGAGGUGCCAAGAGGAGAAGUGCACCGGCUCCGGAGAAAGUACAAAUUUCUACCUCUCAUCUCUGGAAAAAGUCCAUACUUGAGGAAAAGCAGGGAAGAAACAGAAGCAAGGUCAUGUGCUCCGUGGUGGGGAAUGGCUCUGCACCUUCUGAUGGAAAGAAAGCUUUACAAGACACAGGUUUUACGAUAUUAUUGUUUUCCGUGUUAACUUUUUCCAUGAGGGUGACAGUGGCAGCUUACUUUUUUCUUUCAGGCUAAUAAUGAUUUUUCUCUAUGGCAGGUCCAAGUUCUGUAUCUGGUGGCCAGUCUGUAAAUUGGCACUACAGAGACUUAGAGGUCACGGUAUUGUCUUUAAUUCAGUGCUCGUUUAUGUUGUAUGGAUUCGUACUUCUGUUUUCAUGUGUUAGAGUUAAGAUUUUGUGGUUUUGGUAUCUGAGGAGCUGAGGCUUCAGCGAAUCAAUUGUAAAGAGAUGGCUUUUGUCUUCUCUCAAAGUAAUGUAAGUAAAACCUAUUGACUGCCCAGAAAGGCAUAAUCCAGCUGUUUAUUCUUUCACGGUGCAAAUAGAAGUACUGUGUAUUUAAACUCUCAGUACAGCAGAGCAAACCUGUUAAUCUAUUGGCCCAAGAAGAAGAUGACUCCUGUAAACCUAGCAACAGAUUGAAAGA
rnacentral:sRNA from 1 species